rnacentral:rRNA from 1 species
GACGAACGCUGGCGGCGUGCUUAACACAUGCAAGUCGAACGCGCCUGUCCUCUGGGUUUCUGGGGGGUGGGUGAGUGGCGAACGGGUGAGUAACACGUGAGUAACCUGCCCCCUUCUUCGGGAUAACGGUCUGAAAGGGCUGCUAAUACCGGGUAUUCACUGGUCUCCGCAUGGGGUCUGGUGGAAAGGUUUUUUUCUGGUGGGGGAUGGGCUCGCGGCCUAUCAGCUUGUUGGUGGGGUGAUGGCCCACCAAGGCUUUGACGGGUAGCCGGCCUGAGAGGGUGACCGGUCACAUUGGGACUGAGAUACGGCCCAGACUCCUACGGGAGGCAGCAGUGGGGAAUAAUGCACAAUGGGCGCAAGCCUGAUGCAGCGACGCCGCGUGAGGGAUGGAGGCCGUCGGGUUGUGAACCUCUUUCGCCCGUGGUCAAGCCGCGACGUGGGUCGUGGUGAGGGUAGUGGGUAAAGAAGCGCCGGCUAACUACGUG